AGAGUGCGUAACAGCUCACUAGUCAAGAGAUUCUGCGUGGAAGAUAUAACGGGGCUAAGCGUAAUACCGAAGAUAUGGAUUGCAAUUUAUUGCAGUGGUAGCGGAGCGUUCCUAUCGGCAGUGAAGCCGGACUGUUAAGUACCGGUGGAGCGUUAGGAAGUGAGAAUGCUGGAACGAGUAACCAUAAGACAGGUGGGAAUCCUGUCGGCCGAAAGAGCGAGGUUUCCUGGGCUAUGGUAAUCAUCCCAGGGUUAGUCGGGCCUAAGCCGAGGCGUUUAGCGUAGGCGAUGGACAUCAGGUUAAUAUUCCUGAACUAGUCAGACUUUGUAUGCAGUUAGCGAUGAGAUAGGUGGAGCGGAUUCAUGGUUUAUCCGUUCAAGUGAUAGAGGAAUCUUGAUCGAGUAAAAGUGAACCUACGGGUUUACGAUUCCGCCGAAGGCAUUGACCAGAAAAGCUGGCAUACGCAUGGGUUUGGCUACCCGUACCGCAAACCGACACAGGUGCUCGAGUCGAGGAGACUAAGGCUUACGAGAGAAUGAUUGCUAAGGAACUCGGCAAUACAGCGACCGUAACUUCGGAAUAAGGUCUGCCUACAUUUGUAGGCCGCAGCUAAAGAGCCCACGGAACUGUUUACCAAAAACUCAGGUCUCUGCUAACACGAAAGUGGAUGUAUAGGGGCUGAAACCUGCCCGGUGCCGGAAGGUUAAGGGGAUUGCUUCACGGUGAGAACUGAAGCCCCGGUGAACGGCGGCGGUAACUAUAACCGUCCUAAGGUAGCGAAAUUCCUUGUCAGGUAAGUUCUGACCCGCACGAAUGGUUAAAUCAUGUGGGCACUGUCUCAGCAAUUAUCUCGGUGAAAAUGCAUUGGCGGUAAAGAUGCCGUCUGUCCGCACCAGGACGAAAAGACCCCGUGGAGCUUCACUACAGCUUUACAUUGUUGUGGGUUCUAACUUGUGUAGUAUAGGUGGGAGACUUUGAAGCAGAUACGCUAGUAUUUGUGGAGUCAUCAGUGAAAUACCACCCCCGUUAGGAUCUGCAUCUAACCUGUGCCGUUAUCCGGUAUAGGGACCGUGUAUGGUUGGUAGUUUAACUGGGGCGGUUGCCUCCUAAAGAGUAGCGGAGGCGUUCAAAGGUUGGCUAGCUACGGAUGGAAAUCGUAGUGGUAGUGUAUACGCAUAAGCCAGCUUGACUGUGAGGAGUACAUUCCGAUCAGAUGCGAAAGCAGGAGUAAGUGAUCCGCUGGACGAACCAUUGGUUCAUGAAUGUGGGAUUGCCAGCGCAAACGGACAAAAGUUACCCCGGGGAUAACAGGCUGAUAGCGCCCAAUAGUUCACAUAGACGGCGCUGUUUGGCACCUCGAUGUCGGCUCAUCACAUCCUGGAGGGGGAGCACCUUCCAAGGGUCCGGCUGUUCGCCGGUUAAAGUGGUACGCGAGCUGGGUUCAGAACGUCGCGAGACAGUUCGGUUUAUAUCCGGUGUGGACGUCAGGAAACUUGCGAGGAUUUGCCCCUAGUACGAGAGGACCGGGGUGAACGCACCUCUGGUGUAUCGGUUGUGACCACCUGUCGCAUUGCCGAGUAGCUAUGUGCGGAGCAGAUAAGCGCUGAAAGCAUAUUAAGCGCGAAACUGACCUCAAGAUUAGGUUUCCCUAUGAGGACACUAAUAGACGAUUAGUUUGAUAGGCACAAGGUGGAAGCACAGUAAUGUGUGGAGCUGAAGUGUACUAAUAGUCCCACUGCCUUUUUA
rnacentral:rRNA from 1 species